GCCGGAGUAGCUCAGUUGGUAGAGCAGUGCUUUCGUAAAGCAAAGGUCGCGAGUUCGAAUCUCGCCUCCGGCU
rnacentral:tRNA from 6 species